rnacentral:rRNA from 1 species
GAUGAACGCUGGCGGCGUGCCUAAUACAUGCAAGUCGAGCGAAUGGAUUAAGAGCUUGCUCUUAUGAAGUUAGCGGCGGACGGGUGAGUAACACGUGGGUAACCUGCCCAUAAGACUGGGAUAACUCCGGGAAACCGGGGCUAAUACCGGAUAACAUUUUGAACCGCAUGGUUCGAAAUUGAAAGGCGGCUUCGGCUGUCACUUAUGGAUGGACCCGCGUCGCAUUGGCCAGUUGGUGAGGUAACGGCUCACCAAGGCAACGAUGCGUAGCCGACCUGAGAGGGUGAUCGGCCACACUGGGACUGAGACACGGCCCAGACUCCUACGGGAGGCAGCAGUAGGGAAUCUUCCGCAAUGGACGAAAGUCUGACGGAGCAACGCCGCGUGAGUGAUGAAGGCUUUCGGGUCGUAAAACUCUGUUGUUAGGGAAGAACAAGUGCUAGUUGAAUAAGCUGGCACCUUGACGGUACCUAACCAGGAAGCCACGGCUAACUACGUGCCAGCAGCCGCGGUAA